AAUAUUUCAGCCAUUAUUUGUAGAGCAUUAAGCUGUGACCCACCCCACCUCCUUUCCUCCCCCUGGAGCUCUAGACUUCAUGAUGCCUUGACUGCUCGCUUAACAUGGAGUUGUCUUUUAUUUUUAUUUUUUUUAUAAACCCAGUCACAACAGAGAAAGAAGAGGAGGAGGAGGAGAAAGAGAAAGAGAGACGAAAACUAAAAACCCUGAAGGACGGGUCUCUAAAUAUCUAAAGAAACCACAGGGAAUUCCUUUUAAGAUCAGCAGAAAGCAAGGCAUCUGCGAUCACAGUACUGUAUACAGAACCAAGGCACUGCUGCCAAAAAGGAAAGGAAAGUUGCUGGUGUACUUAGCAGUACAGGAUUUCUGGGGUAUUCUAAAGUACUUGCAGCUCUUUGAAUCCAGGAAGAAAAACUACUUGAUCCAUUGCACAAACCGAAUGGGAAGCAACAAAAGCACUCUACUAUGAGGCCCAAUAUGGGAGCAUCAUAAAGAAAAUGAAGAAAAGCCACUCAGUGUUCACAGUAGUAGAUACAGGUUAUCCUUGUCAAGCUAAUUUUGGCCAGACCCGUGCAGCCUAUAUUUGAUUUCUUUGCAUAAAAAAUUCAAUGGAGGAAACUCCAAGUACAAACCUUCAUACUUAAAGAGGUAUUUGACUUUCUGCUGCUUUCUGUGAAGCCACUCGAGUCUUUUUGCCACUGUGCAGGAGCCACCGAGAACGUGACCAGUUCCAGGGAGUAACACCUGACUGAAGGCUAAAGCUUUUCCUGGAGAUCAGUCUAACUUGAUUUAUGAAAAACAGAAGAUGUUUCUCCUGACAAAAUAUUAUUUAAUCCAUUCUCCUCAACAUAGGCCUUUGUUCUUUCCUUGAAAUUAGCUCUGUGUUCUGUAUCGCACAUCUUUAUGGUACCAUUUAUUGAUAUAACUAAAUAAGAUUAUUACUGAA